GGAUUCCCAUCAAUGGCUGUGUGAGGAGCACAUCCCAUCAAUGGCUAUCCUAGCCAAAACACAACAUAGUGGGCAUGUUCCAGGAGUUCUUCAGAGGUUAUGAUGUCACAAUUGUGCUCCAACUUUCAGAAUCUUGCCAGUGCUGAGCCUUCUUGCUUAUCUGCUCCCACUCUCCUGCCAGCUACUGAAUAGCCAAGUGAGUCUGGGUCGGGAAGAUGAAAAUGCAGUCUUUAGGUCUAUUUGAAUAUGCAAUGGAGAAAAAAAACACAAGAAAAAGGCUUCAGGAAGCAGUAGUUCUCAUCUUCCAUACUAUGGAUUUUAUCAUAUGAGGUUGACAAACCAGCAUGGUUACCUGUUGUAAAACAUUGUGUAUCCUGCUGCCAGACCUCAACCUCUCUGUGAUUCUCCUGUACCUAGCUACUGAUGAGUAAAUUCUCUGAAAACGCAUCAAUAAACUCCCAGUCCGACUCCUAUUA